rnacentral:rRNA from 1 species
AUUGAACGCUGGCGGCAGGCUUAACACAUGCAAGUCGAGCGGGGUGAUGGUGCUUGCACUAUCACUUAGCGGCGGACGGGUGGGUAAUGCUUAGGCAUCUGCCUAUUAGUGGGGGAAAACAUCCCGAAAGGGAUGCUAAUACCGCUUACGUCCUAGGGGAGAAAGCAGGGGAUCCCUUGUGACCUUGCGCUAAUAGAUGAGGCUAGGUCGGUGUAGCUAGUUGGUGGGGUAAAGUCCUACCAAGGCGACGAUCUUUAGCGGGUCUGAGAGGAUGAUCCGCCACACUGGGACUGAGACACUGCCCAGACUCCUAGGGGAGGCAGCAGUUGGGAAUAUUGGACAAUGGGGGGAACCCUGAUCCAGCCAUGCCGCGUGUGUGAAGAAGGCCUUAUGGUUGUAAAGCACUUUAAGCGAGGAGGAGGCUCUUUUGGUUAAUACCCAAGAUGAGUGGACGUUACUCGCAGAAUAAGCACCGGCUAACUCUGUGCCAGCCGCCGCCGUAA